rnacentral:rRNA from 1 species
GACGAACGCUGGCGGCGUGCUUAACACAUGCAAGUCGAACGGAAAGGCCCUGCUUUUGUGGGGUGCUCGAGUGGCGAACGGGUGAGUAACACGUGAGUAACCUGCCCUUGACUUUGGGAUAACUUCAGGAAACUGGGGCUAAUACCGGAUAGGAGCUCCUGCUGCAUGGUGGGGGUUGGAAAGUUUCGGCGGUUGGGGAUGGACUCGGGGCUUAUCAGCUUGUUGGUGGGGUAGUGGCUUACCAAGGCUUUGACGGGUGGCCGGCCUGAGAGGGUGACCGGCCACGUUGGGACUGAGAUACGGCCCAGACGCCUACGGGAGGGAGCAGUGGGGAAUAGUGCACAAUGGGCGGAAGCCGGAUGCAGCAACGCCGCGUGCGGGAUGACGGCCUUCGGGUUGUAAACCGCUUUCGCCUGUGGCGAAGCGGGAGUGACGGUAAUGGGUAAAGAAGCACCGGCUAACUACGUG